rnacentral:rRNA from 1 species
UACGUAGGGGGCAAGCGUUGUCCGGAAUCAUUGGGCGUAAAGAGCGUGUAGGCGGCCCGAUAAGUCCGCCGUGAAAGUCCAGGGCUCAACCCUGGAAUGCCGGUGGAAACUGUCGGGCUCGAGUCCGGAAGAGGCGAGUGGAAUUCCCGGUGUAGCGGUGAAAUGCGCAGAUAUCGGGAGGAACACCUAUGGCGAAGGCAGCUCGCUGGGACGUUACUGACGCUGAGACGCGAAAGCGUGGGGAGCAAACAGG